rnacentral:rRNA from 1 species
GACGAACGCUGGCGGCGUGCUUAACACAUGCAAGUCGAACGGUGAUCCCCAGCUUGCUGGGGUGAUCAGUGGCGAACGGGUGAGUAACACGUGAGCAACCUGCCCCUGACUCUGGGAUAGCCUCGGGAAACCGGGAUUAAUACCGGAUAUGACACUGCCGCGCAUGUGGUGGUGUGGAAAGCUUUUGCGGUUGGGGAUGGGCUCGCGGCCUAUCAGCUUGUUGGUGGGGNGAUGGCCUACCAAGGCGACGACGGGUAGCCGGCCUGAGAGGGCGACCGGGCCACACUGGGACUGAGACACGGCCCAGACUCCUACGGGAGGCAGCAGUGGGGAAUAUUGCGCAAUGGGCGAAAGCCUGACGCAGCGACGCCGCGUGAGGGAUGAAGGCCU